GGUGACUGCGUACCUUUUGUAUAAUGGGUCAGCGACUUAUAUUUUGUAGCAAGGUUAACUGAAUAAGGGAGCCGUAGGGAAACCGAGUCUUAACUGGGCGUCUAGUUGCAAGGUAUAGACCCGAAACCCGGUGAUCUAGCCAUGGGCAGGUUGAAGAUUGGGUAACACUAAUUGGAGGACCGAACCGACUAAUGUUGAAAAAUUAGCGGAUGACUUGUGGCUGGGGGUGAAAGGCCAAUCAAACCGGGAGAUAGCUGGUUCUCCCCGAAAUCUAUUUAGGUAGAGCCUUGAGCGGACACCUUCGGGGGUAGAGCACUGUUUCGGCUAGGGGUCCAUCCCGGAUUACCAACCCGAUGCAAACUGCGAAUACCGAAGAGUGAUACUCAGGAGACACACGGUGGGUGCUAACGUCCAUCGUGAAGAGGGAAACAACCCAGACCGCCAGCUAAGGUCCCAAAGUACUAGUUAAGUGGGAAACGAAGUGGGAAGGCUUAGACAGCUAGGAUGUUGGCUUAGAAGCAGCCAUCAUUUAAAGAAAGCGUAAUAGCUCACUAGUCGAGUCGGCCUGCGCGGAAGAUGUAACGGGGCUAAAACUAGUCACCGAAGCUGCGGCAUCAGUAGCAAUACUGUUGGGUAGGGGAGCGUUCUGUAAGCGGAUGAAGGUGAAUCGAGAGGUUUGCUGGACGUAUCAGAAGUGCGAAUGCUGACAUAAGUAACGAUAAAACGAGUGAAAAACUCGUUCGCCGGAAGACCAAGGGUUCCUGUCCAACGUUAAUCGGGGCAGGGUGAGUCGGCCCCUAAGGCGAGGCUGAAAAGCGUAGUCGAUGGGAAACGGGUUAAUAUUCCCGUACUUGGUAUAAUUGCGAUGUGGGGACGGAGAAGGUUAGGUUAUCAACCUGUUGGAUGGUUGUUUAAGCCGGUAGGUGGAGCAUUUAGGCAAAUCCGGAUGCUCAUAACACCGAGAAGUGAUGACGAGGUGCUACGGCACUGAAGUAACUGAUACCACGCUUCCAGGAAAAGCCACUAAGCUUCAGAUUAUACUAAACCGUACUAUAAACCGACACAGGUGGUCAGGUAGAGAAUACUCAGGCGCUUGAGAGAACUCGGGUGAAGGAACUAGGCAAAAUAGCACCGUAACUUCGGGAGAAGGUGCGCCGGCGUAGAUUGUAAGGGUUUACCCCUGAAGGUUGAACCGGUCGAAGAUACCAGCUGGCUGCAACUGUUUAUUAAAAACACAGCACUCUGCAAACACGAAAGUGGACGUAUAGGGUGUGAUGCCUGCCCGGUGCUGGAAGGUUAAUUGAUGGUGUUAUCGAAAGAGAAGCUCCUGAUCGAAGCCCCAGUAAACGGCGGCCGUAACUAUAACGGUCCUAAGGUAGCGAAAUUCCUUGUCGGGUAAGUUCCGACCUGCACGAAUGGCAUAAUGAUGGCCAGGCUGUCUCCACCCGAGACUCAGUGAAAUUGAAAUCGCCGUGAAGAUGCGGUGUACCCGCGGCUAGACGGAAAGACCCCGUGAACCUUUACUAUAGCUUGACACUGAACAUUGAAUUUUGAUGUGUAGGAUAGGUGGGAGCCUUUGAAGCAGUCACGCCAGUGAUUGUGGAGGCGUCCUUGAAAUACCACCCUUUAACGUUUGAUGUUCUAACGAAGAGUGGAAACACGCUCUCGGACAGUGUCUGGUGGGUAGUUUGACUGGGGCGGUCUCCUCCCAAAGAGUAACGGAGGAGCACGAAGGUUUGCUAAUCACGGUCGGACAUCGUGAGGUUAGUGCAAUGGUAUAAGCAAGCUUAACUGCGAGACAGACAAGUCGAGCAGGUACGAAAGUAGGUCAUAGUGAUCCGGUGGUUCUGAAUGGAAGGGCCAUCGCUCAACGGAUAAAAGGUACUCCGGGGAUAACAGGCUGAUACCGCCCAAGAGUUCAUAUCGACGGCGGUGUUUGGCACCUCGAUGUCGGCUCAUCACAUCCUGGGGCUGAAGUAGGUCCCAAGGGUAUGGCUGUUCGCCAUUUAAAGUGGUACGCGAGCUGGGUUUAGAACGUCGUGAGACAGUUCGGUCCCUAUCUGCCGUGGGCGUUGGAGAAUUGAAAGGGGCUGCUCCUAGUACGAGAGGACCGGAGUGGACGCAUCCCUGGUGUUCCAGUUGUUUCGCCAGAAGCAUUGCUGGGUAGCUACAUGCGGAAGAGAUAAGUGCUGAAAGCAUCUAAGCACGAAACUUGCCUUGAGAUGAGUUCUCCCAGUCUAUAAGACUGUAAGGGUUGU
rnacentral:rRNA from 1 species